rnacentral:rRNA from 1 species
AGAGUUUGAUCCUGGCUCAGGACGAACGCUGGCGGCGUGCUUAACACAUGCAAGUCGAACGGAAAGGCCCUUCGGGGUACUCGAGUGGCGAACGGGUGAGUAACACGUGGGUGAUCUGCCCUGCACUUUGGGAUAAGCCUGGGAAACUGGGUCUAAUACCGAAUAUGACCAUGCACUUCCUGGUGUGUGGUGGAGAGCUUUUGCGGUGUGGGAUGGGCCCGCGGCCUAUCAGCUUGUUGGUGGGGUAAUGGCCUACCAAGGCGACGACGGGUAGCCGGCCUGAGAGGGUGACCGGCCACACUGGGACUGAGAUACGGCCCAGACUCCUACGGGAGGCAGCAGUGGGGAAUAUUGCACAAUGGGCGCAAGCCUGAUGCAGCGACGCCGCGUGAGGGAUGACGGCCUUCGGGUUGUAAACCUCUUUCAGCACAGACGAAGCGCAAGUGACGGUAUGUGCAGAAGAAGGACCGGCCAACUACGUGCCAGCAGCCGCGGUAAUACGUAGGGUCCGAGCGUUGUCCGGAAUUACUGGGCGUAAAGAGCUCGUAGGUGGUUUGUCGCGUUGUUCGUGAAAACUCACAGCUUAACUGUGGGCGUGCGGGCGAUACGGGCAGACUUGAGUACUGCAGGGGAGACUGGAAUUCCUGGUGUAGCGGUGGAAUGCGCAGAUAUCAGGAGGAACACCGGUGGCGAAGGCGGGUCUCUGGGCAGUAACUGACGCUGAGGAGCGAAAGCGUGGGGAGCGAACAGGAUUAGAUACCCUGGUAGUCC